GCGAUGAACCAGGCCGCCGCGUUUUUUUAAGAUUCGCUAAGGCUCAUCUUUAAAAUUUAAAGAUUUGCCGAGGGGUCUUUAAAAAUUCGAGGAAAGUCCGGACUCCGCAGGGCACGGCGCCGGGUAACCCCCGGGCGGAAGGCGUAACAAGCCCCCGGUAACGGGGGCAAAAAACCUUCCGACAGAAAGCGCAACAGAAAGGAUACCGCUUUGCGCCUAAAGGUAAAACGUUAUGCCUAACGGCAUAACGUAUGCCGGAAGGCGGAAAGUCAGGGUGAAAUGGCGGGGUAAGAGCCCACCGCGCCGGCGGCAACGCCGGCGGCAAACAAUUCGGCGCGGCCGGAUUAUGGCAAGCCUCGCCGGGAGCAAAGUCAAGCAAGUGUAUUGUACCGAAAGGUACAAAUUCCGGCGGCCCGCCGGUCAAGCACGGGUAGACUGCACGGAGGCGGCCGGUAACGGCCUGUCCCAGACAGAUGGCGGCUAUAGCACGGCCCUACAGGCGUGCUAAAGACAGAAUCCGGCUUAUGGUUCAUCGCUUUU
rnacentral:RNase_P_RNA from 1 species